AGUUAAUAAGCAUAAAGCAUAUGUUUUGAAAGCAUAAAACUAGAGAAUAAAUACUCUAUUAACUU
rnacentral:tRNA from 1 species